rnacentral:rRNA from 1 species
CAGUCGCCGCGGGAAUACAAAGGGGGCUAGCGUUGUUCGGAUUUACUGGGCGUAAAGGGCGCGUAGGCGGACUGAUAAGUCAGGGGUGAAAUCCCAAGGCUCAACCUUGGAACUGCCUUUGAUACUGUUUGUCUUGAGUUCGAGAGAGGUAAGUGGAACUGCGAGUGUAGAGGUGAAAUUCGUAGAUAUUCGCAAGAACACCAGUGGCGAAGGCGGCUUACUGGCUCGAAACUGACGCUGAGGCGCGAAAGCGUGGGGAGCAAACAGGAUUAGAUACCCCAGUAGUCCCUGUCUCUUAUAC